rnacentral:rRNA from 1 species
UAAAUGGAGAGUUUGAUCCUGGCUCAGGACGAACGCUGGCGGCGUGCCUAAUACAUGCAAGUCACCUAAAUGGAGAGUUUGAUCCUGGCUCAGGACGAACGCUGGCGGCGUGCCUAAUACAUGCAAGUCGAGCGGACUUGAUGGAGUGCUUGCACUCCUGAUAGUUAGCGGCGGACGGGUGAGUAACACGUAGGUAACCUGCCCGUAAGACUGGGAUAACAUUCGGAAACGAAUGCUAAUACCGGAUACACAACUUGGUCGC